rnacentral:rRNA from 1 species
GAAUUCAACUCCUACGGGAGGCAGCAGUGGGGAAUUUUGGACAAUGGGCGCAAGCCUGAUCCAGCAAUGCCGCGUGAGUGAAGAAGGCCUUCGGGUUGUAAAGCUCUUUUGUCAGGGAAGAAACGGGAUUGGAUAAUACCUAGUCCUAAUGACGGUACCUGAAGAAUAAGCACCGGCUAACUACGUGCCAGCAGCCGCGGUAAUACGUAGGGUGCAAGCGUUAAUCGGAAUUACUGGGCGUAAAGCGUGCGCAGGCGGUUUUGUAAGUCUGACGUGAAAGCCCCGGGCUCAACCUGGGAAUUGCGUUGGAGACUGCAAGGCUUGAAUCUGGCAGAGGGGGGUAGAAUUCCACGUGUAGCAGUGAAAUGCGUAGAGAUGUGGAGGAACACCGAUGGCGAAGGCAGCCCCCUGGGUCAAGAUUGACGCUCAUGCACGAAAGCGUGGGGAGCAAACAGGAUUAGAUACCCGAGUAGUCCAGGCGUU